CUGGAUAUUCACUGAUCUUCGCAUGGGGGUUGGUGGAAAGGUUUGUUCUGGUGGGGGAUGGGCUCGCGGCCUAUCAGCUUGUUGGUGGGGUGAUGGCCUACCAAGGCUUUGACGGGUAGCCGGCCUGAGAGGGUGACCGGUCACAUUGGGACUGAGAUACGGCCCAGACUCCUACGGGAGGCAGCAGUGGGGAAUAUUGCACAAUGGGCGAAAGCCUGAUGCAGCGACGCCGCGUGAGGGAUGGAGGCCUUCGGGUUGUAAACCUCUUUCGCUCAUGGUCAAGCCGCAACUGUGGGUUGUGGUGAGGGUAGUGGGUAAAGAAGCGCCGGCUAACUACGUGCCAGCAGCCGCGGUAAUACGUAGGGCGCGAGCGUUGUCCGGAAUUAUUGGGCGUAAAGGGCUUGUAGGCGGUUGGUCGCGUCUGCCGUGAAUUCUCUGGCUUAACUGGGGGCGUGCGGUGGGUACGGGCUGACUUGAGUGCGGUAGGGGAGACUGGAACUCCUGGUGUAGCGGUG
rnacentral:rRNA from 1 species